CGGCGCGGGGCACGACGGGACUUGUAGGCGGUGGCGCCGGCCAGGGCAGCGCGGGAGGAGGCGGCUGCUGUGCGGUCCUAAUCCGGGGAGGGCCGGUCCCUUUCCGUCACCGCUGCCGCUGGAUUCGAACCGCGAGGACCUGGUGUGACAGGAUUGCUUCGCUAACAAGGACAUCUGUUUCUGAAGCUGCAAAAUUUGGAGAGCCCUUCCAUGUUCCCCCGGUUCCCAGGCCGCUGUGCUGCUGAUCCGCCAGGCUCAAUUUCGGGUAGCCGAAGCCUCCCUCACCUGUCUGGAGCAUCUCUGUUCCUCCCGUGGCAGCAGGCGCUCACAUGGUGCUGUCCCUUUCCGGAACAGAUUUUUGUUAUUGUUACUAUUAUUAUUAGGAUUUUCCCGAGUACAUUUCCCAUUUGGAACAGAAGCCAAAGGCAUGGAAAAAAGGUGUUUUCUUGUUUUGUUUCUUUUUUCUUCACUAACAAAACCAGGCAAAUUCUCUUUUCAUGCGUAGGGGCUGUAGGUAAUUUUGACAGAAGCAGCUUCCUGCAAAUUCUCAAGGACAGGAUCUCUCCCCUGCCAAAAAGACUUUUUCUUUUGGUGUUUGUAUUGCCAGAAAUUUACACUUCUGUCUCCUCUUUCUACCACAGUCACCCUAGGCUGUGAGCCUGUUAAAACUGAACCCAUAACUCUUCCUUCCUUUUUCCUGUAAUCUCUGUGCCACACAAAGGACCACAUCACAUCAGCUAACAGACAAAAAGAGCGCUUUUACUCACUGCCUCUGUAGCUCUGCAAUGGCUUUUCUGCACCAGCAUCCUUAGUUCUCCAAACAGGCAGCCUCAUCCUGGGUGUUUAAUUAUUAGUUAUCUCCAGUGCACAAGGCAUUACUACUUUUACGAUGAGAAUACCCACCUGAGAGCUUUACUUAUUUCGGCAACUGAUAGGAAAGAGAGGUGUUCAUCACAGAGAGCACUGGCAUAACUAUUUUGUUUAGUGGCAUAAUGUUUUUCUUCUUUACUUUUGUGGUUUAGAUUGAAGUGUUAUACUAGCGAAGUAUUAUAUUAGUACAGCCUCAUACAAUAUGCCAGUUCCACUAACACUAAACUACUUUCUGUUUGCAUAGCUCAUUCUCCUUCCACAAGUAGGUUAAUGUUACCUUGUGCAUAUUAAAUUUGAUAUUGAUAUAUAUAUAUCCACAACAGGAAAGCUCUAUGAAUUAACUUUACCACUUGGCUGCAGGCAAGACGCAGGUCUACAUAAAAAUAAACCCUGUUUUCCAUAGUAGUCUUGAUAUGUGAACACAAAUACAAUGCCUUUUUGAAAACAAAACAUAACAAUGGAAUAUAAACACCUAUAUAUGUGAGAAAUUCCAUAUUUUUCUGCAUACAUAUUCAACUGUAACAUAUACUUCAUACAUAUAGCUAUAUAUUAAACAAAUUCAGGUGAACAUAUAAAAACCCAAUAUAUUUCUCAAAAAGUGUAUAGUUUUCAAAUUUUCAUAACCUAUAUAUAAACCUUUAGGCUCCAGAAGUACCCAUUAUGUAAGUAACUUACGUAAGUAAUGUCAUUGUUGACACACAUAAUACCUGGCAACGUUUCCUGUUGAAUAAAAGCAAGUACUCUGACUUGGAAAGAAAGAUUAAAAACAAUAUAUCUAAAAGCUGCAAUUCUUGGGCUGAGUCGAGGCUGUUUAUUAAGUGAAUUCUGUGAUUUCUUUCAAUCCAGUAUUGAAGAGUCUUCCUCUCAAUAAGAGUCUGUUCAUAUCCCUUUGUUAAGCCCUGCAUGAACACAAAUUUCAGCAUCAUCCACUAAUAACACAGAAAAAAACCUACAUGGCUGAAGAUUAUUUUGGCUGAUAUUACUGAAGCUUACCCAUAGUCCUGCUUCCACCUUUGUUUUAAUCUGGUAAGAACAAUUCACUAGGCCAUCAUGUGGCCAUUGUAAGAUUUAAGAUGUCCUUAAAUGAAUUAUAUUUUUGCUAUUAUUGUAAUUAUUUUCAUUAGAUCAGUCUUAAAUAGCCACAUUUUGACACCAUUUUUGCUUUUGGAAUUGUUUGGUUUUCAUUUGUUUUGAAUAGAUCAUAACUGAGCAGGACUGUUUCUAAGAAAUCGUUUCCAUAUCUACAAGGAAAAGCUUUCAGAAUACAUUUUCUUGGAAAUAACCAAUGUGUACCAGCUAAAAUAAAAAUGUGUAUCUAUAUGAUUGAUUUAUUGUGGUUCAGCCCCCAUUUCCCUGUGACUUGUUGUGUACGGACUGUUGUGCAUUGAUCCACACCACGUGCUGGGAAGAUGUUCUCCCAGCCAGUGCUCCACAGCUACUGUCUUGUGGAACCAAUUUAGGAACCUACUGGUAUUCAGCAGUUGGGGUGAAACCAAGCUAUUUCAGGAACCCUCCAGUAUUAAGUCACUACCAUUUCAAACGUCUGCCAAGGUAUGUGCAGGAAAUGCAGUGGAGAUCGUCAGUGGAACGUCCUGAGAAGGGAUUAGAAAGACACCCAAUGCUGGGGUACUGAUACUGGUAGAAAAGGAGGAGAUAGAGAUGGGGUAAUUCACAUGCCUGGUUGGGAUGAAGAGUAAUUAUGCUGGAACCUAAGGAUGCUAAAGUUUGCAAAGCAUCUGUACAGAUUCCAGUCUGAACAUUUGAUAACAAAAAACGAAUACAGCAGCAACUCUGCAUGUGGACACGUGUCACCAUGAGUGCCUCAUAGCUUGUCAGCAAUCCAGUUGGCUUGCUGUUCACUGGAUUGAUGCUUGUCUACCAGUGUGCCCUGGAAAUAUGUAUUAUGUGUUUGUUUCAGUGUGCUGGUACUGAGAAAAUGCUUCAAGAUUUGGGAAGUUCAUGAUCCCAAGUUGUGGUGGAAGCAGUGGCUGGACUUGUGUGCCUCUUAUUUCAGACUGAAAUAGAAAUAAAAUAGAUUUUUUCAAGCUUC